rnacentral:lncRNA from 1 species
AGGAUAGGAAGUAAAAGCGUAACCAUGCUCUUUAAUACAAAAUGUUUAAAAAGAGAAACCACUUUUAAUAGUUUGCAGGACCUGCUGCUGUAUACCUCCAUCUGGAUUUGAUCAGCCUGGUGGCAGGGAGUGACGUUUCUGGGUGCUAACAGGCUGGAGUCUGGUGGCUGCUGAACGGUCUAGACAGGGCCUGUAUUUCCAGUUCACACAAUCCCCAGGAGACAGUGUCUGCCCUGGCAUUUCCUCCCAGGCUGUGCUCCUCUCUUAUGUUAUCUGCCCGGAGCCUGAAGACUUUGAGUUUGAGGUCACUGACCAUCCUGCCCACUGCCAGCACAUGGACCAAACUUAAUACCCACACCCGCUGAAAUGAGAACAGGCCUCUCCUUGAGGGCCACACCAAGCUCCUCACCCCUGGUCUCCAGCCUCAGAAGCCAGAAGAACAAUGUGGAUGGCUGGACAAUGAUGAUGGUCUUCUGGAAACUCCAGGCCUGGAGCAGGGGCCUCUGCCUGGGCCCCCUGUUCCCCAGCAUCUCUCUCCCUCCCUGUCCCCCACUCCUCUCCCUUCUACCCUCUACCCAUCCCUGCUCCUGUCCCCAUCUGCCCUCUCCCAGCAGAAUCCAGACAGCACACCACAAUUAUCCCCAAAUUGACCCGCCAUCAAAUUCACCUGAAGCUGGGGUCAGACUGCUUUCCCAUUAGUGCCCCCUUUCCAU